AGGGCGGAAGUGGGACAAUCAGCUUGUUUCUCUCAUUGUGACCUCAAGCUGAAGUAAAACAAAAAGGCAGCAGCUUGUAUUGUCUUAGCAGAAGGACGAUUGUGUUGUAUCUCAUCUGAAUAUUUCAGCAACCAUGUCUUCAGCUCAGCAUCUCAGAGUUUAUCAGAGAGAGACUAACUGCUGCUGCUCAAGAAAUCUUCACCGAGGUUGAAAAAACCAUCAUUUGCUACGAGGAAGAGCUCGAUGCUCAGCGCAGGAUGAUGACUGGAAACCACAAAUAAAGCUCCACAGAAUCGGGUCGGAGCUGCAGAAACAAAGUUCUGACUUCCAAAAGUCACAAAUCUCCAUUUAGGAGGAAAUGUCUGCCAUCCCCCAGGUAUGUCACCACAGGAGGAGAUCCAGUCAACAGGAGGAAGCAGAACCUAAACAGAUUAAAGAGGAAGAAGUCGACCCGGAACAAUUGCAGGUUAAACCAUCAGAACCAGGGCAUCCAUGUAAUACUGAGAAAGAGGAGGAAUCAGGUCUUCCACUUAUUGAACAAUGGGAAUAUUCUGAAUGGAUUAAAAAAGAAGAGGAUAACACAGAAUCUCCACUAAUAAAUGAAGGAAAUGAGGAACCAGAUCCUUCAGUGGUUCGACAUGAACAGCAACCACCAGAACAUUUACCAACUGGACAGGACCAGAAAGACCUCUGCAGAAAUCAGGAGGGAGAGCAGCUUGUCCAGAAGCAGUUUGGUGCUUUGAUUGAGACUUCUACUCUUCAGGAAGGUAAUUUGAUUAGAGAACCAAAACUUGAGGAGUUUUCCUUUGAUAUAUCUAAUGUAAUUGAGAGCAAAGAUCAGGCAGGAAGCAGCUCUUCUGUAUCAUGCAGUCAGUCUCAUAUUGACACAAAGAAAAGGUCUUUCAAAUGUGACAUUUGUGGAAGAUGGUAUAAAAAUCAGGAUAACUUAAAUAACCAUUACAGAACCCACACUGGUGAAUGGCCUUUUUCAUGUGAUUCGUGUGGAGAAGGUUUCCCUAAAAUUAGUGCUUUAAAACGACACAAGAAAAUUCAUACAGGUGAGAAGCCUUUUUCGUGUCAGUCAUGUGGAAAAAGUUUCACUCGAAUUGGUGAUUUAAAUGUCCACGAGAGAACUCAUACAGGUGAGAAGCCUUUUUCAUGCCAGUCUUGUGGAAAAUGUUUCUCUCGAAUUGGUGAUUUAAAUGUCCACGAGAGAACUCACACAGGUGAGAAGCCUUUUUCAUGCCAGUCGUGUGGAAAAUGUUUCUCUCGAAUUGGUAAUUUAAAUGUCCACAAGAGAACUCAUACAGAUGAGAAGCCUUUUCCUUGUCAAACAUGUGGAAAAAGUUUCUCUCACAUGUGUAGUUUAACCAUUCAUAAGAGAAUUCAUACAGGUGAGAAGCCUUUCUCUUGUCAAACUUGCGGACAGAGUUUCUUUCAAAUUAGUAGUUUAAUCAGUCACAAGAGAAAUCAUACAGGUGAGAGACCUUUUUUAUGUAAAGCAUGUGGAAAAACUUUCUCUCGAAUUGAUCAUUUAAAUGUACACUCGAAAAUUCACACAGGUGAGAGAUCUUUUUCUUGCAACAUAUGUGGAAAAUGUUUUAAAACAAGUUCAAAUUUGAAUGAUCACAGAAAAAUUCACACAGGUGAGAAACCUUUUACAUGUGAAACAUGUGGAAAAAGCUUCAUUAAUGUAUGGAAAUUGAAUUUACACAUUAAACAAAAACACUUGACUGUCACAUAGAUUAACUAUUAUAAAUACUUUAACUUUUCCUGGUAGUAGUUAUCUUUGCAAAGUAUAUUAGAAAAAGAAAAUUGACUAAACCAGGUUAUAGGAAACCUCUCCAAGUCUGUAAAUAGCAGUAACUUGGACCUCAUGGACAAACACCUUUUUCAUACUGUGGUUGACUGAUUCACCCCUGCUAUUAGGGAUACGAGCAUAUCUACAAUAUAAAAAUGCAGCUUAGGGAGCUGAGUUUGGCGUCAAGUUUGGAAAUAAAAUGUCAUAACUGUGUAGAUGCCUUAUAGAUGUAGUUCAGCUUGGUGAUGGAGGACUGAUGAUGUGGGCUUGUUUUAAACACAUUAGUUCAAUAUGAAGUCUUCUUUGUAUUAAACUCUUCUAGAAAAAAAAUCGGUCCAUCUUUUGCUCAUAUCUGUAAACUGAACUUCAAUACAUUUUACAUUUUAUUUUAUGUAUGUGUAUUUUAAAUGGAUCAAAGUUUCUGCUUUUAAUUUGGAUGUUUAUAAGAGACGAUUGAUUGAUUGAUUGAUAGAUUACUUUAUUUUCCCAAAGGGAUAAUUUCUUUCAUGUCAUUACAUUUUCCAAGUUGAAUUAAUAGAUGUGUCACAAAAAGUACAUCAUCACAAACAUACACAGCAACAAACAUUUUCCCACCAUUACCCUCACACAGUCAGACACAAACAGAUAUAAUAUGAAUAGCAUGCAUUCCUCCUCCCCCCUGUUCACCUCAUUAGACAUAGCAAGAAACAUCACUUCACUGAAAACACUAGAAAAUGGAUGAUUGUCACAGACGUUUGCUUUGUGCAAUGUGCAACUUUUCUUAAAGGGACAGUACUAUGUAAUAUAGACGUUUUGAGUUUUACAUCAUGUUAUAUUGUUAUUCACUUAUCAAAGAUGUACCUGGAGUUUUAUCUUGAUUCUUUCUUGCAUGUUUGAGAAAUCCUUUAGUCUCCAUGGCAGUUAUUCAGCUAUGCAAAACACCUGGGUGGACCUAGCUCCGCCUUCGAGGCGCAGCACUACCACGACUCUUUAACUGAACUCCUUUAGACUAGCCAGCAGCAAUUAGCAAACAUCUGGUGGAACUGCACAGCUACUUAGCUCAUUGUACAAGCUACUUCUCAGUAAAGCCUAUAGAGGAGCCAUGUUGUGAUGACUUCCUGAAGGCAGAAAGAACAGGAGUUUUUAAAGAGACAGACGCAUAAUUUCAAGGCUUUAAAUUAGGAAGUCAAAUUUCUUUUAAGUUAUGUUUGAUAUGUAGUAUUUCUGUAACAAAUUAAGGUAACAUAGUUAUUUGAUUAUGCUUGUAAAAUGGCACUAUGUGGCUAAGCAACAUAUAAUACUGCCCUUUGAAAGUGGGGUUUUUCCCAGCCUGCAGUUCUCUAUCCUCUGCCAAAUAGGAGUAAAGCAGUGGUGUCCAAAAUCAGUCCUCAAGGCCUGGGAUCCUGCAUGUUGGUUAAACACAAGCAAGCAGGGGCCUGCUAAUGAUGGCUUAUUGACAUGCUGAGAAGAUAAUCUAUUCAAACUGGUGUCGAAACUAGAAUUAAAACAUGCAGGAUGCCAGCCCUCAAGGACCGACUUUGGACACCCCUGCCUUUUACAGGAAGGUUGGAUUGUUGCAUGACUUUGAGUACAGAUAUUAUUUAUUAUUGCUUUAUUACUAUUGGUAAUGUAGAAUAAAUCUUUGUUUAAUCACUGUAAAUAAAAUUCUCAUUGUAUUA